CUAGAUGAGAUGAUUUAAAUGUCUUGUGCACCCCCUAAUGCCUCAAGUUCGAAUCCACAUUAGACCAUUAUUUAGUUUUUCACCCACAAGGAAAUUUUCCAUCAAUAUCAAAGCAAACAAGCACAAAAAGAAAGUGAAAACAAGCAAAAGAAUCAAAGGAAACAAUUUUAAAAAAAGCAAUUACGAAACAAUCUGGGCAC
rnacentral:lncRNA from 1 species